rnacentral:sRNA from 1 species
GAGUGCCUCUGCGGCCACCGGGGUCUUCGUGCUGUCCCUCUCGGCCAUCCCGGUCACCUAUGUCUUCAACCACCUGGCGGCCCAGCAUGAGUGAGUGAGCCGGCGCGGCGGGGGUCGCGCCGAGGGGCGGCGGGAGUUGGCUCGGCGCGACGGGAGCCUCGCAACUUUUCCGAGGGGGCUGGGACCGUCCGCCGCGGGACAGAGUUCCUGGACUAUUGUAGGGGUUGCUGCCCUCAUCCUGUUCCUGGUAGCACUGCUGGCUCGUGUCCUCGUCAAAAGAAAACCACCCCGGGACCCACUGUUCUAUGUGUAUGCAGUUUUUGGAUUUACCAGCGUGGUGAACCUCAUCAUAGGACUGGAGCAAGAUGGAAUCAUUGACGGGUUCAUGACACACUACUUGAGAGAGGGUGAACCAUAUCUGAACACUGCAUAUGGGCACAUGAUCUGCUACUGGGAUGGCUCUGCUCAUUAUCUGAUGUACCUGGUGAUGGUGGCAGCCAUAGCAUGGGAAUCAGGCACAGCUCUGCGGCUUGGCUCGCACUAAGGCU